rfam:Neolentinus lepideus HHB14362 ss-1 unplaced genomic scaffold NEOLEscaffold_28, whole genome shotgun sequence.
GCUUCCUUGGCUCAGCUGGUUAGAGCGCCGGUCUCAUAUAAUGACCACUGUCCGAGUGGGGAAUCCGGAGAUCGCCAGUUCGAUCCUGGCAGGGAGCA